rnacentral:rRNA from 1 species
CCGGCGACCGACGGACGGGUGCGUAACGCGUAUGUAACCUACCUUUGACAGGGGGAUAACAUCGAGAAAUUGGUACUAAUACCCCAUAACAUCACCGGAGGCAUCUUCGGUGGUUGAAAACUCAGGUGGUCAGAGAUGGACAUGCGUUGUAUUAGCUAGUUGGUGAGGUAACGGCUCACCAAGGCGACGAUACAUAGGGGGACUGAGAGGUCAACCCCCCACAUUGGUACUGAGACACGGACCAAACUCCUACGGGAGGCAGCAG